rnacentral:rRNA from 1 species
CCUACGGGGAGCAGCAGUAGGGAAUAUUGCUCAAUGGGGGAAACCCUGAAGCAGCAACGCCGCGUGGAGGAUGAAGGUUUUCGGAUUGUAAACUCCUUUUGUUAGAGAAGAUAAUGACGGUAUCUAACGAAUAAGCACCGGCUAACUCCGUGCCAGCAGCCGCGGUAAUACGGAGGGUGCAAGCGUUACUCGGAAUCACUGGGCGUAAAGAGCGCGUAGGCGGGAUAGCAAGUCAGAUGUGAAAUCCUAUGGCUUAACCAUAGAACUGCAUUUGAAACUGUUAUUCUAGAGUGUGGGAGAGGUAGGUGGAAUUCUUGGUGUAGGGGUAAAAUCCGUAGAGAUCAAGAGGAAUACUCAUUGCGAAGGCGACCUGCUAGAACAUAACUGACGCUGAUGCGCGAAAGCGUGGGGAGCAAACAGGAUUAGAUACCCCAGUAGUC